CGAAUUUGAGCACUCCUAAAUUAGAGGAUAUUUUCAGGGCUUCAAAAAGUUCAGAGAUUGGUAGAUCAAAUGAUGAGUGAUCUAGUUUCCACUUACAACCAUGAAGCUCCACCCCUUCCAGACAGCAAGAAAGGAGAAAUACAGAAUGUUGGGUCAUCUGUAUAAUAAAUUACCUUAACACUGUAUGUGGGGACAUGUUUUAUCCAAUAUUCAUUAUUUUGGUAUGUUUUAAAAUAAACACAUGGAUCUAUUGGAACACACUAUAUGAGAAUGAAUUUUCAACUGGUCAUUUUAGGCUUUCUCCAUCCAAACCAGGUGAAUUCAGGAUGGUCGAGAUCACAAGAGGAUAGAAUUUACCUUCAUACACAGAGGAGCUGGUCUCCAGGCAACCUGAACUCUGGGUGCAGGAACCAAUACUUGCCAUUAGAUUGUACAAACAAAUAUGAUAAAUUGCAGCAAUAAAAGAGGUCAAAUAAUUUUCAGUCAUAGUUCACAAAUA